rnacentral:rRNA from 1 species
UGGGUAACCUGCCCCUAACUCUGGGAUAACCCCGGGAAACCGGAGCUAAUACCGGAUACGAGACCGAGUGGCAUCACACGGUCUGGAAAGUUUUUCGGGUAGGGAUGGGGUCGCGGCCUAUCAGCUUGUUGGUGGGGUAAUGGCCUACCAAGGCGACGACGGGUUGCCGGCCUGAGAGGGCGACCGGCCACACUGGGACUGAGACACGGCCCAGACUCCUACGGGAGGCA